GUCCUGUGAUGUCUAGACCCUCUAGGGUUGCCGGGUUUGCCUCCAUCAGGACAUCCUAACAUACACACUGCGUUGGUUGAUGAUGUAUUGAUCACCAAACCCUGCUGGAGCACGGAGCUGGCAUACGCUGCAUAGAGGGUGAGAGCAGAGCUGAAAGAACAUGUGAAAAACCACAAAACUUCUCCAGCCUUUUUGUGUUCAAUUUGUGGUCAAGUAUUCAAAACCAGACAUCAGAUGAAUGGACAUCGCAAACAAAUCCAUUAGAAAACACAAAUUAAAGAGAGGAAGAGAUGAAGGCUGAAGAUAAUUCCAUGUGGUCCAACACAAAAGCAACUGGAAAGAAGAAUUCAAGUGAAUUUGCAUGCAGUACCUGCAGUAGGAUUCAGAAGACAAGGUUGGACCUUCUCAUGUACACCAACAUAGCACUGGUGAGACAUUUGGCUGUAGUUUUUGCUGGUAUUCUUUCCCUGACAAACAACUUCUCUGAAAACACAUUAAGAAAUAUCAUCUGGGUGCAGGAACCUCAUUAAACAACUCAAGAGACCACCACCCAGACCACCUCAACUCACUUCUUAUGGAAUGUUAGGUUCUUCAUGCUUAAGCUUCCACCAGAGCAUCCCAGCAAAUAAAGAAGCUGUUGGCAUUGUCA
rnacentral:lncRNA from 1 species